AGCGAUUCACUGGUUUGCCGGGACAGGGAGGAGCUGAGGGGCUGAAGCUAGGGCUGAGGCCAGAGUAGGGGCACUGCUCGCUGUUCACAAUGGUCAUCCCUUGUGGCUCUGUCCCUUUCUUGCUCUCAGUGUGUUUCCCAACAAUAGCAGGAUAAAGAAAACAGACGGGCAUGGGUAUAUUGGGGUGUGGAGUUACUCUUUCACUGCGUUGUCUGAUCUUUUGAUGUUUCCUAUUUUCAUCAGCUCUCAUCUGUCCUCGAUUCAAACGUAGAUAGCUUCAUCUGGGUCAUACGUUCGUAAAGGUGGUGUUUUUAUGAGUGUGUGAGUCUCUUAGGGCUUGUAUACAUGAAUGUGUUACUCAUAUUGAGUGCAACAAAACAGCUUUGAUCAACAUUACUCUCAUUCUCGCCCUGCUUUUCUUUUCUCUGUUGAACCAUUAAUGACCGUCUAACACUCACAAAUGCAUGUUAACAAUGUCAGAGCCCUGCGUGGGAGCGCUGUAUGCUAUAGAAUACGUUUAAACCAUUAUACCGCGCACAAAGAAGCGAGUUAAAAUGGACGAGCUAGGUUUUCCGCUUUAAAUUAUAGAUGCUAUCAACAUACACAAGACACACAUCUUUUGGUCCUGACACCAAACGACCCUUUUUCUAUUCAGAUCAGUGGUUUUUCCAUCAAAGCGGGACGCAUGCCCGCCCAGAAACUUUAAGCUACCUUAUAGGACCUCCAGGGUUACAACAGCUCGUCAUUGGGGCAGUACUCUCUGAUGUACUGUCAUUGUGCCCUGGAGGUUUGUAGCUUACAGAGACCAGUCCAGCACCUCAGUUUCAUACCUUAAUGCAGCAGUCCAAUAAAACUAUUAAUCAACACGAAUGUCUUUGAACUGUGGAAGAAGCUGCAGCACCUGGAGAGAAACCCACACAGGCACAGGAAGAACAAGCACGCAAGCUAGAUCCAAAAAAUGCUUUUCAUUUCACUUUGAUUUAACAGUUUGGUAUUUCUUAUAUUAAACUCCAGAAGAGAAGGUCCUGUGAUUAGACCCGAGGAGGUAGACUGCACUUGUGGAGACAGAAAAGCUUUUUCUUUGUACCCACACCUUUCAGCUCUCUGAGGAUUUAUGGCACCAUUUCCAAAGAUUUUCAGUUUGUUUUCUGCCUUAAAACCUUCGAUCGAUCUCACGGCAGGGGUCGUUUGCAUGUUCUGACUGUGCCUUACUCCAGGUUCUCUGGCUUUUUCUCAAAUGCAUAUGUUUUAGUUUGACUGGUGAUUCUAGUGUGUCUGUGACUGUUUGUCUGCCUGUGUGCGUGAGCCCAGCCUCUCACCUGAAGUCAGCUCCAUUCUCACGUCUGGCAUCGUACAUCGUCAGUUUCUGCUGCAGCUUCUUGCAUUUUUUCACCUUUUUUCUUUUACAAAAUAAGUAAUAAACUUAGUUCGAGCGCAUAGAAACACAUGCAGGCAUAUUUUGAACAAGAACCGUGUGAUCCAAGAAGCGUAAACAGAAGCAUAAAUCUGACCCGACACUCGAUACCACCUGACAGUGUUCAGCUCUGCAGACACAUUUCUGUUGAGGUUUAAUACCCAGCCCUAACAAAUGUACAGCCAGGCUUGACGUAAUAUAUGAGACAGGCCAGUGAAAGAGAUUUAUGAAGACAAGGACAGAGGAGGAGGUCAAGCAGGCAAACGUGAUGUUACUGCAUUACCGCCUCGCCACCACAUUAAAGCAGUGUAUUCUUUACACAUUCCACCCUGAAACAGGUCAUUAGUACUGAGGAUAGGAAGCUCUCCACCAGCCAGGACGCCGCUCGUCUCUCUCCCACCGCCGGGUCUGCGUGUGUGUGCCCACGAGGCCUCUCUGUCUCGCUCGGCGUGCCCAGCGAGGCGUCUCCUCGCUCCGCAUCUCCUCCGGUUUUUUCGCUAAACAUGCUUGAUUAGGCAAAGUACAUUCCCGGCCCUCUAAUGGCCUGAUGAGCCCCUGAGAAGAUUACUGCAGACACAUCAGCCCUGAGAGGGAGGCGCUGUUCAACCAGCUCCGCUAACCACCAGCAGAUCACACACACACACACACUCGCGUGCAAACGCACAAAAAGGACCUUUAACCAAAUUUGGGGCACAAUUGAAUUAGGAUCCGCUCUGACUGGUGUACAUGUUACUUUACUGACUGCAUAAUUUGAUUACCUUAGUUCAACAUUACACCGGAGCUAAAAAAUUCACGUGGACCUCAUGAGUGCUCUGUUUAUUAAAGCCAUCAUCCUCCCCUUUCUUUGCAUACUUCAUGUCAUUCCCGUUCCUCCUCACCGAGCAGCUGCACUUCUUCUCCUUUUCUUUAAACCCUUUGAUUGUUAGCAGACUCUGCCAGCCCAGCUCUCAUUGCACUUGUCACUAUUAAAGGUUAGCUGGUUAAUUUAAUGAUUCAGUAACAGAAACAGAAAUCAAAGUACCCUCCACUUUAUUUCACAUUAAAUCCUUGAUGCGUAACAGUUUUUAGACAUUUCCGUAAGCUCUCAUGUGGCAAAUUGCUUUCUUUUUCCUAUAAGGGCUUUUGUUUUGUUUUAUUUAAAUGUAGCGUAUACUGCCUCCAGUCCUGCAAACACACACACACACAUUCUUCCUCUUUAUCUCUGCUCUGCACGAAUCAACACACACAUAAAAUUUCCAUCUCUGUCUUUGUGACCCAGCCAGUCUGUGAUUUUAUUUAUUAAGAUGUGUGUGCGCGCACUCGCUGAAGAGACCAUACCUUUGUGUGUUGGGGUUGUUUGUGCCGUGUGGCCCAGUCACGUGAUGCCCCCCAGCCAGUAACUGCCAUUUUGCCCCACGGUGCUCCAGUGCGCUGUCCGUGCUUUAUGCCCCAGAAAAGGUCCAGGAAGGAGGCUAACUCGCUUGAAAUCCAGCGAUGCACGGGGAUGUGGUGAAACGAGACUGCACCUCCUCGGCCAACAUGCGAGAAGAAAAAGCACAAACGGCAAAAACAAAAUCAAUGUUUGCAUUUUUGUAAAGUUGUAGAUGUAUUUAGUCGGCGCUGACCAUUUUUGUCAUGUUUGCUUUUUUCUAUUGUUUGUUUCUGUGGUAGAUACUUGGUUUUAAGAUUUCUAUGGAAUAUUACUGUAUAUGAUUUCAAUUCUCUGAUGUGCCCGAUUUGAUGAUGACAAUGAACCCGAUGACUAUCAUGACGAGCAGUACUGUGAGCAGCACCCAGGUGUUGCGUCCUGUUUGGAUCUGAAUGUGAAUGUGAAUCGGAAGAAGAAGAGGAGGCAGAGCGAAUUAACCACAAAGAUCGAGCUUUGGGAGGAGGCCGUUCUCCUCCAAAGCGAAGGAGUCCUGCAGCUCUCACCGGAGACCGGCCCGAGGCCUCGGGGGCGGGCUGUCAUCGGAUGACAACACAUGUCCCUGCUACGUGUACAUAACCUUGAUGCUUACAUGUAAUUUAAGUGCAGUAGCUGCAUGACGGCAAAGCCUCCGUGUGUGUACAGAAGUAGCGACGUGUGAAUUUGUACAGUACAUGCAAGUGUGUGUGCGCUUGUGUCCGCGAAGAAACCUGUCCGUCGUCACGCCAAAAGCAACACGUGCAUGCACCCUACGACAACUGCGCAGGACACACAAACACAAAGGCCACACUCAUACGACCACACAGACAUGCUCCAGCAGUUGUUCGCCAUGUCGCCACAUUGUCCCGAGCUCUGCCUGUCACUCCGCAUGGAGACUUUACUCUGUGUCAACUUUCUUAUUCUAAUAAACCACUCAGACAUGGACUUCA
ensembl:lncRNA